rnacentral:rRNA from 1 species
AUUGAACGCUGGCGGCAUGCCUAACACAUGCAAGCCGAACGGUAACAGGUCUUCGGAUGCUGACGAGUGGCGAACGGGUGAGUAAUACAUCGGAACGUGCCCGAGAGUGGGGGAUAACGAAGCGAAAGCUUUGCUAAUACCGCAUACGAUCUCAGGAUGAAAGCAGGGGACCGCAAGGCCUUGCGCUCACGGAGCGGCCGAUGGCAGAUUAGGUAGUUGGUGGGAUAAAAGCUUACCAAGCCGACGAUCUGUAGCUGGUCUGAGAGGACGACCAGCCACACUGGGACUGAGACACGGCCCAGACUCCUACGGGAGGCAGCAGUGGGGAAUUUUGGACAAUGGGCGCAAGCCUGAUCCAGCCAUGCCGCGUGCAGGAUGAAGGCCUUCGGGUUGUAAACUGCUUUUGUACGGAACGAAAAGACUCUGGUUAAUACCUGGGGUCCAUGACGGUACCGUAAGAAUAAGCACCGGCUAACUACGUGCCAGCAGCCGCCGUAAAAC